rnacentral:misc_RNA from 1 species
AUGAUUUUAUUGAUAUAAAUAAUCUCUUUUACUUUAUUUUAUUUUACAAGUUCUUAUUUGAAUCUUUCUAAAACAUCUUAAAGGAAGGAUCAAUCGAGUAUAUUAUUAUUGGACAAGGACAUCUUUAUUCAUCUCACAAGGCGAAUGCAAAAAUUGUAGAGCAUACAUUUUGAAAGUGUUUUUAUUUCGAAAGACUUUUACAAUGAAAAUACUUUUUCAUUGGUUAUUGUGAAUAGAAAGAAGCAUUAGAAAAAAUCAUGGAAAAGCAAUCUGUUGAGGAAAAAAAGCAAUCGUCGAUAACGGCAAUGCAAACAUCAUUAAUUUUAAUGAAAUUAGAAAUGAUUAAGCCAAGUAUGGAAAAUGCGCCAUCAACGAAUUCGGAAAAAGCUUUUCCCUGUAUCGAAGAAAAUACGAGGAUGGAAUUGCCGUCAAUGAAAUUUACAAUUAGUUGCGAUACUAUAACAACGCAAGCUGCAACCCCUUACUCUUCAUCCAUGUCAACAAGUACACUUGUACCAUCAAGAGAUAUUUUACAAAUAUCUGCAGCUCCCUUAUCCUCUAUAGGAUCUAUUCCUAAAAGCGAAAUUUUAACAUUCACUACAGAUUAUAACAAUCGUUCACCCGAUGCUUGUAGUGUACUUGUAGAUGUAGUUGACCAACACGAUCCAUCAUCGACUUUUAAUCGAGAUGUACAGCUAUCGAUCGAGGAGUCGUUUGAUUUACCACAACGAAGUAUAUCAUCUGUAAGAAAUGAUUUUGCAAAUCGAACAAGACAAUCUCGCCAAACGUGGAGAUUUGGAAAAUGUUUGUGUUGUACUGCACCGAUAGAUGAUGAGGUUUCAAUGUUUUAUUUCUUUCAGGAUUUAAUCAAUUGUAUCAUAGGUGCUUCUACAUAUUUUUAAUCAAUUCGCCUAACAGAUUGAUACGUUACCACAUUCAAGAGAUGCUCCACCUACAUAUUCAUCGAUAUACGUUAGCCCUACAACGAUAUUACAUCAAAGAUCACCAGUUACGCGAUCUAAUUUGCGAAAUAAUGGAAGAUUUAUUAUUUCAAAUACUAAUCAAUCAUCUUUCAUAGCACCUAUUCCUCCACCAAGUUAUGCUCAAGCUCAGGGUAUUCAACUUAACUCAUAUUCAACCGAACAAAAUCUCUCGGUUUCAUCAAAUGUUAAUUCUUGGUCAGCAAGACCUGUAGCUACUAUUUGUACACGAUGUUUAGCCCUUAUCGUUACUACAACAGAAGUUCGUCGAUCGACUAUUACACAUUUAAGUGCAUUUCUUCUUUGCC